AACGGCCAUACCAUGUUGAAUAUACCGGUUCUCGUCAGAUCACCGAAGUCAAGCAUCAUUGGGCGCGGUCAGUACUUGGGUGGGUGGCCACCUGGGAACACCGCGUGCCGUCG
rnacentral:rRNA from 1 species